rnacentral:sRNA from 1 species
GUUUCUCCCAUGACUCCAUCACUCAGGAAUGGCAACCACGGCUCUCUCACUCUCUCAGCUCCAGUGGAGUCCCUGGCUAUUGAGCCCAGACUUUUUGAUGUAGCCGGGAACCAGCUGGCAGAGGAUUUAGGAUUACACAUCAUGAGCAAAUGACAGCCUGUUAAAGAGACAGCACGCGUGGAUUGGCCACAUCUAGGUUUCUUAGGGGGAAAAAGACUUAAAAUAAAAAAUCUUGAUAAAACUCAGACUAUUUGGACUAAACAUAAAGCUAAUUCGCCUGUCACUGAAUUAUUAGUUUAUUGAAACAAUGUUUGAAAGAUUGGACAAAUAACAAGACCAAACACACAAAUAAGGAUUUUUUUUAAACUUUUCAAUAUAUAACAAUGGGUUUCUUUUUUUUAAAUUCAAAUGCAUUUUUGUAAAAUGCUUACCUGGAGACAAAGCUUCAAUAGUGAUAAAGAUGCUACUUCAGAACAAAGGGAUUUACCCCGGGGAACAGAGCUGAAACAAAUGUAGCUGAGAGUUGGCCAUGGCCUUAGUGCCCAGCCUAAGGCUGAAAGGUAGGGCACUUUAUAUUUUAAUAUGACAACCUGAUAAGUUCCAUUCAUAAAAGACAGAGAGUUCUUGUGCUCAUGUUGUGCCUUCCCUAGGGUGUGUAGCUGAGCACAGAUAUGCACUGACACAAUUACUACUCUAUAACUCAGAUGCUACAUUAAGUUACUAAAGAGAAUGAGUUACAAGUGUUUGCAGUUACGUUACAUUCGUUUGGAACAAGGUGAUGUUCUGCUAGGUUCAUCUAGGUUCAUAAUCAAAAAGGCUUCUAAUUAUGCAUUUUUAUAAAAAUAAUACUCAAAACUUAGUUUUAGUAUGGCAUUCUAUUGAGUAAAGCACAGUGCCAUGAUUAAGUUUAUUAUGCUCAAUAAUAAAUUCAUACUGUGACUCUUUCUAUAUUUCUAUUUAAAUAUAAGGAUCUUGUCAUUGAAGAAAAUUGUAUUUAUUGCUGGAUCUCCUAAAUAUUAUGUAUAUUUUCUAUGUAUCUAUAUGCAUAUUCAUACAAGUGUAUAAUGCAUUAAAACCCUUUUGCAUGCAUGCAUGUCUCGCAUUUUCACAUACAGCAUUUUAUUCACAUAGUCAUAGUUUGUAUGUAAAUUUCUUUAUUAUUUCCUUUAAAAUAUUUUAUAAGCAUUUUUCUUAUACCUAUCAUCUUCAAAUGAGACAUUCUAAAAUACACUUAAAGUUUUUCUCUCCCUCUUAAUCUUUAUCUGACUCCCAUAUAUGCAUAUAUACAUAUGCAUACAUAUACAUAUACUUAACUUUUUAUUUCAAAGCCUUUGUAGCAUCUUGGGCAUUAAUAUAAUAUAACAUAUAAAUUCUACACUUCACUAUUGUGGGUGUGACUUGCUUCCUUGCAGGUUUUUGAUAAAACUUUAUACUGUUAUGCAAUGGAGAACGUGUCUAUUUUUCUGUUAAGUUUUAUUUUCAAAGUUUUUUUUAGAACAAAUUCCUAGUAAAACACCAGGGAGCAUGGUAUGAAGAGUUUAUUUCUGAAAAUGCUGUCUUUGGGAAAAGCAGCCUGUAUCGAUGCUACAGCGUUUGUUUGUAGAGCACCAACUCGAUAUAGGUGACUGAUCCUUACAAAUGUCAUGGAUGUCUAAACGUGCAGGCCAAUUUUCCACGUUCAAAUGCUCUAAAUUUGUGCACGUUUUAUCAUUGUAUCUAUUUUUAAUCCUAAAACAAGCACGGGCAUUUAUGCCAAUAAAGCGUAUAAAUAAGAUUUGACGCUAAUGUUCUCAUGAACGGCGGCUUCACUUGUGCCUACUGCAAAGAUUUAAAUGUUCUCUAGAUGUAUUUUAAGCAGCACCUCAGAGAAGCUGCUGCCUUCAUUCGAUAAGUUCCAGCUCUGGAUCCUUCAGAUGUGUCAAAGCGCACGAUCAAUAAAGGCAUCGACUACUAGUUCAUACUGGGAUGGUUUCCUUGCUGUCAUCACGAAUCGCUCCUCUCCAACAAAGACAUGAUUAAGCUUUGCGAUGUCUUACUCUCAGAGUUUUAAUAGGUUCCUAGUUUCAGUGUUCGCAACUGAACCCUGGGCCACAUGCAUGGGCAGCCCGUGCUUUGUCAGUGGGCUACAGCCCCAUUGUUUAACAGGGGUUAAAAAUAUCAUUAUUUCUGUGCUCGUGUAAUGUGCUCAUGUUGUGUUCUCAUUUGUUAAGCUAGGAAAUAGAAAGCUAUGAUGAAAAGAAAUUUGAGUCACAUGAAAGUUGAACUCUUAAAUUGAACUUCAACGAUGUCAAAGAAUGAUAUUCAGGGAGGCCGCAGAAUAGCUCUGCGGGUCCAUAGUAAAACAUGAAGUGGGAACAAUAAUUAAUACUGGUCCACUUUAAGGAUUCAAAAUCUACAUAUGUGGGACAUUAGUACAUCAGUACAGCAGAAAAUUACACUACUAUAGACGCACUCACCCACCGCUGCUCCUCUGCCGAGUCUACAUGGCAAGGGUAACUGGGAAAAUCAGGGAACUCCACUGCUAAGAAUCAGCAGCAGGGGUGGAAAAGGCGUGAGAAUAGAAAUGAAUUGGACUCUCCCUUUUCUCCUCUGAGCAACUAGCGCCUGUCACUCCAGCCUCCCCUCCACUCUCCUCAGCUGUCAAACAGGCAGGCGUGGGCAGGACAGGCUCCCUGAGAGCCUAAGAGGCUGGCAUCACACGGGAGCCUGCACCAAACUCAUAAGCUAUGCAUUGUACUAGCGUUACAAAACCCUGACAUUUACUGCUGGGCCACUCCAGGCGUACGCUGUGAUAUGUGGCCAUUAGCUCAGGCCUAUAUUUAUGUGUAAAGUCAAGAAUAGAAACACCCAUGAACGCUAAAUUUAUAAUCAUAUUGACGGAGCCUUUUACAGCUGCACUUUCCAAAUUGACAGAAUAGCCACCUCUUUCCACAAAGGCCCACGAUGUUUCCCAUCAGGAAGGGCGAGAGCUAGUGGUAUGGCCCAGUCACAUGGGCAUUCGACUAGCCUACGGGGAGCCUGGAGUUCAGCACCCAGCACUGGAAAGAAAAAAAAUGGAAGGAAAAGGAGAUAAAUGAUCCUGUCAGUUGUAGAAGGGUUUGAAAGAAGGAAUAAGGUCAGAGAAGACACAGUGGAAGAGGAAAUUAGGAGUGGGUAAGAGAUGCAGUCAGAGGUUAACUGAAGCCAACAGCUCUAAAGUCAAAGGAGGCCAAUGGUGGGAUUUGGUUUUUAUGUUGUUGGUGGUGGUGGUCGUUGUCUGUUUGCUUUUGAGACAAGGUCAGGUACAACCUGGACUACAGAGUGAGUUCCAGCAUAGUAUGAGAUAAGAGUGAGAACUAAGGUAGCCUGGGGUACAGUGAGCUAAGGUUGCCUGGGUACAGCAAGGCCUAUCUGGAAAACGACAAACCUAAAUUCAAAGAAAAAAGUCUUAAGGAAGAUUAGUCUUACUCUGUCACAGUAUCAGUAAGAUUUUAUUAAAUCAAAACUAAAGAGGGAUAGAGACGAGGACUCCAAAAGCUGGGAGGUGUGGGACGCCAGACGCAGAACCUUCAACCCGAGAACACCAUUAGAAUAGCUCCAGAGCCAACCCAGGCAUAUCCCAAGCUGACCCCAGAGCCCUGAGGAAAGGGAAACAAAUUAUAAUAAAUAAUUCCCACAAGUCUGUUCAUUGGCAGUCACCUUCUCUGCUGUGUUAGCACGUGUUCUAAAAACUGUGUCACGUGUACCGUUGUCAAUCCUGAAAAAGUAUUAUGUUGCCAUUUUUAUAUGGUGUUUAUCUAAUUAAUAACUUAAUUAGAUAAAUAAUAAUAAUUUAAUAAUCCAUAUGCUUUACCAUGUCCUUUCCUAACUGUAGCCCAAUGCUAUUUCCUGACACAGAACACUGGAGACACACACAGUGCAGAAGGGCUGAACUAUACCCCACUCACCCCAUAUCCAUAAAAGCAAGGGAAGGCAGAAGUAAGGACAGAAAUGAGGAAAGAAGUACAAUAAAUCAUAUGCAAGUCAACGUGGCCUUCUCCUGGAAAGCGAUCCCAAAACAGAAGCGGACAAGUGGGAGCGAACCAGGCAAGCACAACAAUCAGCAGGUGAAGACACGGCCUAUGGAAUGGGAGAAAAUACUUACAAAACAUAAACAAUUAUGGGUUACUAUACAAAUAGAUAAAAGAAUUCCCUAAGCAGUAGUAAAAGUUGACCAGGGAUAGGAGGAGGCACUUUUUUCAGAAGGUACACAAUGGCCAACAGCUCUGCGGAACAGUGUUCAACAUUACUAAUUACCAGCAAAAGAGAGAUCAAAACCACAGGUGAGUCCUCACCUCAGGCCGCUUGGUAUGGCUUUUGUCAGAAAGACAAAUUCUAACAAGUGUUGGCAAAGGUGUGGAGAGAGGAUAGAUAUGCUUGUGAACUGUGGAUUAGAGUGUAAAUUGGUGUAGCCAUUUCAGGAAAGAGCACGGGGUGUCCUCAAAGAACUAAAACUAGAGCCAUGAUAGGAUCCAGAAAUCCCAUUUCUAGGAAUAUAUUCUGUUCACUCUGACCCGGAAGUCCUCAGCCUGUUCACUGUGACCCAGAAGUCCCUAGUCAGUUCUCUCGAGUACCCUCCAAUAUAUUGCAAGAAGGAAUGCAAUGUUAUCAACACAGGCGGAAGCCAAAUAGGGCAGCAGUCCUUUACAACGUGUGGGAGUCCAGUGCUCCCAACCACCAGCUCUGGAAGACUAUUGAACAGUAGAUGGUAGCAAGCCUUCUCAUCUGCAGAAGCGCCAGCAGAAUGCUUCUGCCUGUACAACCAUGAAAGAACACUUGAGAGAACCAGAUGUGAUCGGCUGCGGAUUCAAGGGGGAAAAAGGGGCUGGGAAGUAAAGUAAAGGGCUUAGAGCCCUUGAGGGAGGAUAGUUCACAGGGCAGUGUUGCUGCGAAGUGAGUCCCGGCACCUGCAAGGGCUGAAAACAGCCAUUUAUCAUCCCAGGGUGUAACCUUGCUCAUCUCUUUUGUUUCCCAAGAGGGUAACAAUGAAAUACAAAGUAUAUUUUGGAAGUGGGAGAAGAAUAGUGAGCGAAGGCUGGAACAUCUGCUCUCUUUCUUUAGAAGAAGCAACAAGCUAGGAUGUAAAACUGUCAGGACAAGUAAAUAAACCACUAAUUAGGGUCCUGGGUAAAGAAAAUGUCUCCUACCCCCAAGAGAGACAGGUCAGCAUAGUGUUUACCAAAGCUAAUGGGACGGGGAACUUUGGAAGAGGACAGAGAUAAGAAGGGUGCUCUGGGGAUAGAGAGCAGUGUCGUUGAACUCUGGGAGAGAAAAUACAUUCCUAUGUCUAGGAAGCACAGAAACUCUGGCACGGCCUGGAGUGCUGCUGGCACUUGUGCCCCAAGGAGACUGUAUAACCAAGUACAGAACGGUGGCAGGAUUCAUCUCUGGGGAAACCCUGAGUCCAGAGCAUGUAGAGAAAAGAAGAAAUAACUUAUGGAAAGAUUCACCCAGAGCCACUACCCUGAGGUAGGCGGGUGGUAGGUAGUUCAAGGCAGCCAAAAGACACAAGUUACAAAGCCACGUUACUGGGUCUGAAUGGUGAAGUCUGAAAAUGACUGUUUAUGCUUCCAGGGGACUGAGCUCCGUGACUGGACCCAAAGCCUCCAUGACACAGGGGCCUCAGAGCACCCUUCAUAAGGAUGCUAUGCAGGGUCAGCAUUUCAGCAAGAGGCCUGAGAAUUCACUUCAGGAAUUUAACACAAUCCCAGCUCUAAUGGUAGAAAAUGAGGCUCGGCUGAGAUUAAAUAAUAAUGCUAAGGCUGUGGUUUUGUUUACUCGGCUUCCCAGUUACUUGAUAUUGAGGGUCUGACUAAAGAUAAUUAGAAAAGCAAUUGACGUGUUCAGCUCUGGGUCAGCCCUGGGAUGAAAAUGGCUGUCGAGAGCUUACAACUCUACAAGGGCCAACAGUGCCCUGACCCUAAGAAAGUUCCUCAGAACUCACUGAAUGUAUCCUUGAUCUCGGGUCCCUCUGGUGUGGUUGAAAAACUUGUGUAGUUCUCUCAGGACAAUGUAACACGUGUCUUCUACUAAGUUAAAGAUGCAUUCCAUGUGUUUUAUCUUCUAUCAGCUGAACGACGUGGGCUUUAUGAAGAUUGAUGUGAAUGGACUCUGGGAAACUCUAUGUGCCCCAAACUCCAUGCUUCGGGAUAGCCAUGAACUUUCUCUUAAUUAAGUCCUGAGUUAUGCUAGCAUUCUCAGUUUGCAAAUGGGAAUUUUAAACUAGAGGCUAUCCAAGAGAAUUAAUAAAAGCAACCAUAAUUCAAUAAGAAA